AGCGCGAGGAAUGCUGGGAUAGUGGAGGUCCACCCAGCGCCUCCUGCGGGUUUAGCGAUCCGUCAGAGUUAGAGAUGGAUCAUUUUGUGCUUUUAGUUUUAUCUGGACUCUCUGAAUUGACAAAUUUGGCAUCCGGGAAGAAAUGGUGAGGGACUGCUAAAUGCCUGAUAUCUGGAGGAAGGACUGAUUUCAAAGUCACCUUCAUUUUGACCUCAGGAAGUUACAGCUAAUUAGCCAACCAUGAAGAACUGAGGAGACAGGUCUACACAUCAAGUCUCUAGGAUGUCCUUUCAGGCCAGCAGACAUUUAAGAAACAUCAACUGUGUUCCAAGUGCUGGAGAUACAGAGAUGAGCAAGUCCUGGCCUUCAAGAACAUGUUAUCAGGAAAGAGCCAUGUUCUCAUGAAGAUACCGAAUUUUAGAGGUGUGAAGUGACCAGAACACUAUCAAAGUCUACCAUCAAGAUUGCAAAACCUGUGCUGUGCCAGCUCAGAACACAGCCAGAAAGAGCCUCUGGUUAUAGCUUUUAGCAUCAUCUUGUCCUGGUCCUGAAGAAGUCAAGUUUUCUAGAGCAAGCAAGCCUUCUCUGAAUUAGUACUGAUUCGACCAAUUAUGGAAUUGAGA